GCGAGAUUAGCUCAUAUGGUAGAGCAUUAGAAUUCCAAUCUAAAGGUAGCAGGUUCAACUCCUGUGUUUUGCA
rnacentral:tRNA from 1 species